GGUUUUAUGGGGUAGUGGUUAUCCCCUGAGAUUUUGAUUCUCAUGACCCCGGUUCGAGUCCGGGUAAGACCU
rnacentral:tRNA from 1 species